GCGUCUGUAGCCUAGUUGGUAAAGGCAGCACUCUAGUAUGUGUCUCAGCAUAGCUGAGGUCAUGAGUUCGACUCUCACCAGACACA
rnacentral:tRNA from 1 species